UUUUACUCGCAUCCCUUUUUACCGUGUUUUUACCGGUGAAUUGUUUUGAUUCGUUUUCAUUAAUAAUUUAAAGUAAAUCUUCAUCCUCAAUUUGAAAAGUUUAUAUAGUCUUAAUCAAAUAUCGUCGUCUAAAAAUUAUAAAGGGAAAAUCUUCAAAAAUCACGAAGCGUCGAAUGGCGUCGGACUCCAAACUCUGAACUCCGAACUCCAACCAAAUUCCAAAAAAUCGAAGAAGUUCUGUACUGGGAUAUCGUGGUAUAAGCAUCAACUCAAUUUUGGACAAUGCAUUGAGUCUAAAGCAAAAACAGCUGGCAAGAAACUUGGCAACCUCCACAAACCAUUCUUCACGCCGGAACGGCUUCUGUAGACCUGUUCUCAGUAGUGGACUGGCAAUGGGUUGAUCAUAGACUGGCGAUAGUUGAGAAUAGAGAAGGGCUUAGCGGGGCGAAUUUUCGAUUUGAUUUCUUAAUCUUUGAAGCACUAACCAAAAAUGAGAUGAAAUAGUUGGUUUACAAUGCCCUGAGAUCAAGGGUUCAGCUAGGAGUAUGCCCAUAAGUAGUUGGACUGCUGUGAGAAAUGAUUCUCACUCAAUGUAGAAUACGAAGAUUACACUGAUGAAUAACCAUCUAGCAUUGGAUUGAGCAGAGUUGAUUGACCUAUGGGGACAGACAACAUCAAAUGAGUCUUAGGGCUGUUAAAUACAAGAGGCACAAGACUGCUGUAUGGACACCCUUUCUUCUUGCUGGUUUGGCGGCUAUGCAGGGUCCUUAAGACCUUGUAUCACAUUGACUGUUGCCGAUCUAUUGUGAUUGCCAUGGAAACCCUUACAAAAGACCUACGUAUAGCUGUGGAGGGCCAUCUCCUAAUAGAAAAGCGAGACUACCUAAUCGAGCAAAGACAGCAAACAAAAACUAAACAUAUGAAGACCUAACAAAAGAUUGAAAAGUAAUUAUAUCCCCUAAAAUGUAUUUGAAUUGUCGAUAAGUUUCACGAAAAACGAUACAGCAAAGUUACAUGGGAAUUGUUUUGUCCGUCAUUCCGUUUUUCGCCAUUGGCGACAUGUUUUGUAAAAAAAAUAUGUUUUUAUUGUGGAUACCUAAAGUUUUACCAUAAACGGUCCAUCCAAAAACAAGCACUGGUUCUGACCAUUUUCCUUUCUUUGUAAAAGUGCUCUAGAUAGGUGUCCUCUUUGUAAAAAAAUGGAAUUCGUUUUUUUUAAUGUUAGCAAGAAAUAUAUUGAUGAAUUCUGCAUAUAAAUAUGGUCCUUACAAGUCUUUCAAGGUUUGUCAAAGUUUGUUCAGCAAAAAUAGCAAUGGUUCUGACCAUUUUUCAACAGUUUUUUUUUAUGGGUGAAAUGUUUUUGUGGGAAAACGACACUAUGAAAAUGGUAUGAAUAUUUUAUAAUUUAUGUUAUUUGCAUAGUCUAAC